rnacentral:rRNA from 1 species
GCAAGUCUGGUGCCAGCAGCCGCGGUAAUUCCAGCUCCAAUAGCGUAUAUUAAAGUUGUUGUGGUUAAAAAGCUCGUAGUUGAACCUUGGGCCUGGCUGGCUGGUCCGCCUCACCGCGUGCACUGGUCCGGCCGGGCCUUUCCCUCUGUGGAACCCCAUACCCUUCACUGGGCGUGGCGGGGAAACAGGACAUUUACUUUGAAAAAAUUAGAGUGCUCCAGGCAGGCCUAUGCUCGAAUACAUUAGCAUGGAAUAAUAAAAUAGGACGCGCGGUUCUAUUUUGUUGGUUUAUAGGACCGCCGUAAUGAUUAAUAGGGACAGUCGGGGGCAUCAGUAUUCAACUGUCAGAGGUGAAAUUCUUGGAUCAGUUGAAGACUAACUACUGCGAAAGCAUUUGCCAA